rnacentral:miRNA from 1 species
AAUAUGCUGUUAAAUUUGAAUUUCAGAUAAACAAAGAAUAAUUUUUAAUGUAAGUAUAUCCCAUGUCCCAUAUUUGGGACACACUUAUACUAAAAAUGUAUUCUUUAUCUGAAAUUCAAAUUUAACUG